UGCCCGCCCCAGGGUGGGUGCAGCACUCACACCACCAACCCCAGCACUACACAAUAAACCAAUCACAAACUCUAGUUUCAGUUGCCUUCCAAAACCCCGCCCCCAUGACCAUAUGCAACUAUGGAGGGACCUCCAGACACAAACUAUAACACUGAGGAAACAAAUCCCAAUCAGGCUGAUGGCCCUAAGCUCCAAUUAGUAGUUAUCAAGUUUUUAAAUUCAUAGUGGAUCCACUAACAUUAUCUCUCCUACCAGCCUAUGCCAACCUGAGUUCUUUUAUUUCAUUGAUAUCUGUAUAGUAGUUUCUGUGUGCUUUUGUAGGUGCCAGGUACUUGUUCCGGAUAUGGCUUACACAACAGGGUUCUGAGAAUCAAAGUCCUUCUUGUGCCCUAUGUUUCCAUUUUUGUGACAGGAGAUGGGUAAUAAACAAAUAAGUAAAAUAUAUAGAUGGCCCAGAAGGGGUAACUCCUGUUACAAUUGACAUUUUACUAUGUGAAAAAUAUAGAAAUAUAGAGACGUUAAUUGCAUUUUGUUUCCCAAAACAAGACUAGACUAAGUGCAGUUAUGGUACCAAAAGGAAAAUUUUGAUUCAAUAAAAGAAAAGAAUGUAUAAUGAAUACAUUCAUUUUUUUUCCUGAACCAUGAGCAUUUAUAUUCUAUGAGUAAUUGUGCAACCAUCUGGGUUUCCUUUUCUACUUUGGCUGCUAGGAAACUCAGAGCUAAAUUUGCAGUAAUAGUAGUCGUGCGUGUCUUUCUGGUUUAUAUGGUUACACAGUACAUUAAAUUUUCAGCGGUCUUAUUAUUCCACCCUGGGUCUUCUUUCACUUUGAUUUUUUAAAUUUGUAUUUUAAUGCACUGAUUUCAAGAGCCAAGUCUAUCAACCAAGAAGUAAAAUUUCCCCAGGAGGAUGGGUACUUUAGAUUUAUAGAUUUACACAAUAAAUCCAGAGGUUUGCUUUCCUGUUCCAUAAAUCUUUCUGGAUUAAAAAAAAUGGCAACUCACAGGAAGGCAGAGUGCCUGAUCAGAAAUUAGAUAGUGGCUCCUCAGCCUGGCUUAAUCGCUACUUGUUUGACGAGGGCUAACCAAACACUUGUCCGAGUAAAAUGGGAGAGAGAGUAGCUUCUGCAUUAUGAAGACUCGUGGUGAAAAUGUAAUCUAAAGUAAUUCAUCUUUCAAUCAAAAACUUCAACUUGCUUUUCAGAUCCUAUGGGCUCUGCGUGAUUUUCUCCCAGCUAUUUUUGAGAUUUCGUGAGAUGAGGAAGUUAAGAUGACACAGAGUCCUGAAAAUUCUUACGAAAAUUCUGAGGAAUAAAUCCCAGUGCAAAAUCUAUAAAUCAUAGCUAAUGGAUGUGUUUAAGGAGACUAGCUCAUCCAAUAUGGGCCUCCCCUCCCACUCUUCCUGCGAACAGAUCUCCUCCUCCUGUAGCCUAACAGCUCCUCUCCACAUCUUUGCUCCUCCCUUCCUCAGUGGAAUGUUCACGGGAGGUGCAGCGACACAGCAGAAAAUCCCACUCUUCCUGGAGCCUAAAGGUACCUUGGAACGGUGAGUAUGGAGGGGUGAAGAGAAUGAUAUGUGAGAAAAAUAAUUAGGAAUCAUUGCCAAAAGGAUAGGCACAAUGAGGUACAAACAACCUGCUGUGAAAACACAGAUGAAGAGGCAAUUAAUUUCUGUCAUUUUCUAGCAAGGGUAGGUGACAAAUAUUUUCCCUCUGCUUGUUCUCCUCCCAUCUGUUUCUCUCACUUCUAAUGGGGACAAUUUGGGAUCUGACUUGUCAGUUUCUGCUACCGAAAUGUGAAGCUCGAGCAUGAAAUUUAUUCUGAUGUCAACCCCAGAAGAUGCUGCAUUUAAUAGAAUGAAAGAGCAGCUUAGAGAGCAAACCUUUAUAAAGAGCAACCGCCCUAGUUCCCUGUUGCCUGUUACUGCGGUGGAUACCCAGGACUGGCUCGUUUUCCCCUCCCUCCUCCAACAUGGCCGUCUUUCCCAGGAUUCCCAACGUUUGGCUCUUGCUGCCUCACCGGUGUCCUCCACCUGGCUGGUCUAGCUGCCCUACGCUUCAGGUCUAGACCAGCCUAUGUGCCAAGAUGACCUGUUUGCCUGUGUAUUUCAAAUUUAGAGACACUCUCCCGAGGUACUCUUGUCUGAAAUGCCACCAUCCUACACAUCUUAUUUUAUGUCCUUGUGAAGGCAGAGAGAAGAUCUCUCACUCAAUCACCUCUCAGCUAAAAUUGUCUCAUCAUAUGUUUCUCUCAAUCUCUGGCUGAGAGGAACAAGCCAGGGAGAGGUAAUUUACUUAUUCAGCCACUAUUUACACAGAGUCCUACUUUACGUUGUUACAAAAAAGAAUAAGACUUGUCGGGCUCAUUUGCCAGUUGGAGAAAAAAAAGAACACAAUCGUAAUUUUAAAAAGUGACAAUUGCGUGGACAAAGCAGCAGCACUGCCCUGGGCUUUGAGUAAAGGCUGCAGAAAAGGCCAGAGAUUUGAGUGAAAUCUUGAAGUUCAAGUUUGAAUUGGGCAGAGCUAGGGAAGGGGAGAAAAAAAUGGAAUAAAGAACACUCUGUAACGGGAAGGGUCUCAGCAAAAGGUGAGGUGAGAACAUCAGUCAGCCCCACGUGGCAUGAGACACUGGGUAGAGGAGAGGACGGAGGGUCAGCAUUUGGGAGAAAAUGCCAAAAGAGUGAAAGAGAAAGGGAAGAUUUUAAGACAGCCUGCAACUAUUUCACUUCAAAUUUUUGCCAUUGUGAAGUUGUGUGAAAAGGCAAAGAAACAAGCCAGCUGAAAUCAGAUCAGUAGGACACACUGGGAAGAAUUAGAAUAAUGGAGCUCAGUGUCAAAAACAUCAGCAUUUAACAAUCCUUUUUAUCCACUCCUUCUAGUCACUCAGGUCUGUGUUGUGUUGAUUGCUAUCCGCAGACUCUGAAAAGCCCGAGUUCUGAUUCUAUGACUAACGCAUUGCUUGCAGGUACCGUAAGCACCCAGGGUCCCAAUUUUUUGUGUUUCAGGGGAAAACAUGAAAAAAGAUGAUCCUUAAGAUUUCCUUUAGUUGUAAAGACUAUAAUUAGUCUUAUAUUUUAAAAUAACUUCGCUGUUUAUAGCACUGAACUGACACAAUCUCCUCCUCUAGGCACAAAAGCAUUUCCAGGUCUUGGCAUUACAAUCUCCAAAUUUCAUCAUUUUAAUUUUAAAAAUAACCUUUUCCUUUAUUACAAAAUAAUACAUACGUACUAUAGAAAAAUUUGAAAGAGUAACAUUGUAAAACAUAACUUCUACCCAUGGUUAACAGUUGGUCUAAAGCUUUAUGAGGAAGUCCAUUGUUUUGUGUAAGACUAUACUAAAUUAGCGAUGCUUUAUUCCCAAUUCUGAAAAGCUUGUUUGUUUGCUGCUCUUAGAGCCAAGAGAUUUCCAUACAAAUAACUACUGAGCAUUUCACCAGGUUCAACAAAUCUAGGCAGAUUCCAUUGUUCCCGCAAAGUCAGUCAACGUGUAUUAAGUAAAAGCUCAUAGAAUGUGUCAAUAUAAAUUUCAUCCCUGUAACUUUGAAUUAAUGCCUUUUCAAAGUUCUUUCAAAGAAUACACCCAAAUAUUAAUACAAGCAUGAACUUGGCGCUUUUCAAGGUAAUCUCCAUGCAUUAACUUUAAACUUCAUAAUAAUAAUACUCUGUGGCAGGUAUUUUGAUCCCAGUUUUAGAGAUAAGAAUUGGAGGGUUGGAGAAGUUAAAUGACUUUAUUUCAUCCACUUUGCCAGUAAAAGUCAGAAUCAAAAUUUGAACAUAAUACUGCCAAACCUCAUAGUCUCACAACUAAACUAGCAUUCCACAAACUAUUCCCCAACUAAUGCUGGUAUCUAGUAAAAUAGUGUUCCAUGAAAAAAAAUUCAUUGUCGGUUAUGUUUGAGAAACAAUAUGUUGUAGGAAAUGAACAUGUUUAACACAACUUAAUCAUUACUUUCUUCAUCUUACUUGGUAGAGAAAUUCUUUUCUAUAAAACAAAUUCUGUUUUGAGCAGCACAUGUUAAUUUGAGCAUAUAACACACACACAUAUAUGUAAUUUUUAAAUAUGAAAUGGGUUAGGAAUGGAAGUGGGUUAGGAAUGAUUUCAAAAUCUUCUCUUCUCCCACCCAAAGGUACAGAAAUAAUGCGAUAAUGGACUAUAACCAUUGAGAUCUUUAGGCCUUUUUCAGGUUCAUCUCCAAAGUUUGCAGUUAUUGUAGAUUGAGGGGAAUGUGCCUUAUCUCAAGAUCAGUGUCUACUUUUUAACUUUGUUGUGGAUUACAGGUUCCUGAGCCAGAAAGAAAUCUGUAGAACUAUUUCACAGGAGUUUAUUUUUCUUUAUUGAGUGGAGUGUCAGUUUCCUCAUUUGUAAAUUGGGGGCGAUGACAUUAACAGGACAACAGCAGGAGACAGCACAUUGUAGGAAGACCUUAAGUGUCUUAGAAUGUAAGUCUAUAACAUAAAAAUACACUCUUGGCUUUUACACAUUAGUUAUCAAACUCCUUUUUCUUUUCCUUUUUAACUAGCAGUUAGUUUAAAUAAAACUGGUUUUUGGACAGUGUGUACCAGGGUUUAGAAGCAGAUUCUAUAUUCAUUGAAUACAAUGGGGGGUAGCAUCUAACAUUAUACAAUACCAUUACACAAAAAUACCUUCCUCCACGCCAGGGUGGGCUACAGCUAUUGACCAGAAGUCCAUCUCCUCUUACUUCAGGACUCUUAAUUAUUACUCAGCUCAAAGCCUUAGUUUAUUUGCUCAAAGCUUACAUCUUCAAAUAUCUCUUGAUUCUAGCAGGUAACUUGGAAUCUGACAAAGUACGGCUACACACAGUUAAUUGUUUUGUAAGGAGAUAGAUGGACUUACCUAUGCCAGGCAACUUGAAGUAAAUUACUUCAGAGCUGGCUGGACUUAUCCAUACUGAAAAGCUGAAGGAGACAGAAAGCUGGUCUUGCCGUACAGCACUGCAGAAAUGAUGGGCACUGCACGAAUGGUGCCAUUUGCAGAUAGGACGGUCACCGUGGUGAUGAAGGGGACCACGCACUGAGCUAAGUUCUUUCCUGUUCAACCCAACUUAAAUAACUACUGCCCACUAGAAAUAUUACAUCUAAGUUCAAAGUAUGUUUAAAUAGUAGGAAAAAAGAUACCAAAUCUGAAUCUUUUCUUUAUAGCCUCAAGGACAGACACUUAUUUAUUGUGGACUCAUAUUAAUGGAACCUAUAUGCCCUUGAAUAUAUCCCUUUUAAAUCUUUGAACAGGCCUUAAUAAUGUGUUUUUUUGGAUUCUAAGCUUUUUGUGAAAUUCAUAAAUACAGAUAUUAUACGUGGUGAA